rnacentral:tRNA from 1 species
CAGGGGAUAGUUUAAAUAAAAUAUUAAUUUUGGAGAUUAAUGAUGAAGGGAAGAUCUCCCCUGA